UAGACAGCCCUGGAGAAGGAGGGCUCUGUUUAUCCACAGAACAGGUAUGGAACAGCUGCUAUGAGCCUCCCACAAACCUGACAUGACGUGACCGCUCUUGGGGUGAGAAGGGACAUCUGUAUUCAGAUACCAUGUCGGUCUCUUGGAAUU
rnacentral:sRNA from 1 species